rnacentral:rRNA from 1 species
UACGAAGGGGCUAGCGUUGCUCGGAAUCACUGGGCGUAAAGCGCACGUAGGCGGAUUGUUAAGUCAGGGGUGAAAUCCUGGAGCUCAACUCCAGAACUGCCUUUGAUACUGGCGAUCUUGAGUCCGGGAGAGGUGAGUGGAACUGCGAGUGUAGAGGUGAAAUUCGUAGAUAUUCGCAAGAACACCAGUGGCGAAGGCGGACUCACUGGCCCG